UCUGCCGCGACGUCGCGAGAAGUCCACUGAACCUUAUCAUUUAGAGGAAGGAGAAGUCGUAACAAGGUUUCCGUAGGUGAACCUGCGGAAGGAUCAUUGUCGAAACCUGCAAAGCAGACCCGCGAACCCGUUUUCACAACACCCGGGGGCGACGGCGCCGGCGGAGCAGGCCACGCCUGCCUCGCCCGGCGUCGGGACCCCCGUCCCGUCUCGCACGGCACUAACCAACCCCGGCGCGGAAAGCGCCAAGGAACACGAACGAAAGCAUUGCCCCCCCGUCGGCGCCCCGUUCGCGGUGCGCACCGUCGGGGACACGGGCGUGUGUCCAACGAAUAAACGACUCUCGGCAACGGAUAUCUCGGCUCUCGCAUCGAUGAAGAACGCAGCAAAAUGCGAUACUUGGUGUGAAUUGCAGAAUCCCGUGAACCAUCGAGUUUUUGAACGCAAGUUGCGCCCGAAGCCUCCGUGCUGAGGGCACGUCUGCCUGGGCGUCACGCAUCUCGUCGCCUCCGCCACCGGUCCUCCCGUGGGAUCCCUCGGCGUUGGGUUGGAAGUUGGCCUCCCGUGCGCCCGCGCGUGCGGUUGGCCCAAAUACGGUCCGGCACUGGCGCGUGCCUCGACAAUUGGUGGUUGAACUACUCAACUUGCGCGUUGUCGCGAGCUCCAGCGCGCCAAGCUUUCCGGAUGCGUCGGCCCUCACGGUGCACCGCACCCUCGACUGCGACCCCAGGUCAGGCGGGACUACCCGCUGAGUUUAAGCAUAUCAAUAAGCGGAGGAAAAGAAACUAC
rnacentral:sRNA from 1 species